GUGACGUUAGGCAGGAGGGCACCGGAUUGAAUGCCACUAGGUUUCGAUUUUAUCCUGAGGGCACUAGGGCACCAUUGACUGGAUGAAGUGAGAGGGAUAUGCUUUUUGACUUAGCAGAGAAGGCCUCGUCCUGACCAGGAAAUCCCUGGUUUCCAGUGCUGUCUGUCACAGAGUGGUGAGUUGAAUUCAGAGAAGAACCUCUUCGCUACCAGACCUAAGGCAACCUUCUCCCACCCAACCUGAAUAAAGAUUCAAACACAUGAUCUAGAAGUUGAGAAGUUUCCAGAGAGUCAGAUAUCCUGCCUAAGAUCUUUUCACUUCUUCUUACCACGUAUAAAUAAAAGACGACAUUUUUGAGGCAUGAAACACCGAGUCUCACACUCAUUUGUCCUCUUAUCAUCUCCCUGUCUCUUCUGGCUCAAGAAUCCAAAAGCCAGUAUUCCAUUCCUAGCUUUGGCAGAAGAUGAGAAGCAGAGAAAAAUGAAAUGGAAAUAUCAGUCAGAGAAUACUUGCCUUUAUUGUAUUUUCUUUCCUAAAACUAAUUAUUCUGGCUUGAGAAGGAGAAGAAUAAUAAAACGCUG
rnacentral:lncRNA from 1 species